CCCUUCUGAUUCCUUUGUUCCCUGCCCAUCCUAGCCUCCAUGUGCUACAGCCUGUCACUGAAGUCAAAAUCACACUUUAUCCUGGAUUCUCCCCAAAAGGAAGCCUGUGAUGAAGCUACCUUCAUUGGCAGAUGCCUCUCUAGAAAGUAGCUCCGGGGAGCCUGAGUUGGUGAGCAAGGAGAGAGCAGGAGCAGAAAUGAUUCACUCACGGAGUUGCCAUUGCUAUGACAACAGGUACCCAGCCCUCUGGGUCUCAUGGAAUGUGUGGCGGCAGAUCUGGGGGAGGCAUUUUCUCAUCAUGUGUUCCCACCACCCCAGAACUGUGACUGCGGUGUUACCCCCGUGCCCUUUUGAGCUGUGAGUGGGGCACAUGUCUUUGGGAGGACAGCAUGGAAACCAGACUUUGAAUACCAAUGAGAGGAUUCUGUUCUCCCUUGCCUGAGCCCUAUCAUCUCCACCCUUGGAGCAUGUGUUUCCUGUGGCCAUGUCUGAGGUGCCAGCAGUUGUCAGACACGGAGCUAUCUCUGCAGCCCCAGAACCUCUUCCAGGGUUGAGCAAAUCCAGGACAGGAUCAGCCUGAGGCAGAGUCUUCACAGCUUUCCGGAGGGUUAAAGGAACAACCUGGCCUGGUGCCUAGCAGAUAGCCAACGGCAGCAUCGAGGACGCAAAGGCUCAUCAUCCUUCUGAGCCCUGGCAUGGGGCACUGUGUAGGGCUUUACAAAUGACGGUCACGGCCCAAGAACUUGAGAUCUGGGACCUACCUGCAUCUGGAAAGAGCCAGGGCUCCAGCUCAGACCAUCUGACUACACAGUGCCCACCCCAGCACUGCCCAAUGCCCAGGCCACUCUACCUGUGUCUGUGACCUUUCCCCCUGGCUAGCAUCCCUUCACCCAGGAGCACUUUCUGUUCUUGUGUGAGGCCUGGAUCUUACCUCCAGCCCUGCCAUCACCUUGACUCCUGUGUUGGAUGCUGAAGUUGCAAAAACAUGCUCUCCGCUGCCUGUUCUUGUCCGCCGCACCUCAGCUGCCAGGUUAAUCUCCCGAAAACACUGUCAGGAGUGACGCCUUGAUCACCUCACUUGUCAAAUGCGGGGUUCCAGCUCGGUAUGAUCAGCGUCUUUCAAGCUCAAAUAAAUCCUUUGGAAUCCUGAGGAUCAUUACUCCCCAAAAUGUGUGUGGCUCAGGGAGACUGCUGGUGGAGCUGGUGCCAGCCUGGCCUGCUGGGGCUUGGGGGUGCCCAACCAAGGAGCGAGGUCAGUGUGGGAGGGUCAGUGUGGGGAAGGGUCAGUGGAGGAGUCUUCCUUUGUGACAGGGUAGAGCCCAGGGGAGAGGGCUGCAUGAGGGUCCUCUACUAUACCAAACGGCCACAUCGGUGACCUGCUCUCUUGCCCUUUGGAGCCUGUGUGUGAGUCUGAAAUUCCGGUGUGAACUGAACCCUGCUGGGGGACAGGGGAACUCUUCUCUGCCUUUUUGAGCGGUAUGAACAGCAGCCCUGGGUACUUCUCAGCUUACAGAAGCACUGUUCCAUCUCUACCUCCAUCAUCACACAAAUGGGUGCUCGAUAUCUGUGUCCAGAUUCUCUCUUCCUCCGAGGACACCAGUGACACCGGACAGAGCCCCCUCCCUCAGUGGACUUUCAGCUUAACUUGUUUAUAUGGGCAAAGAUCCUGUCCCUAUCAAGGUCACAUUUCAAGGUUUCAAGAUGGACAUGAGUUUGGGGACAAGGGGACUAUUCAAUCCAGUGCUGGGGCAAGACGAGAUAAGAAAUGUCAAAUGUGAUGUGCAGAGACAGGCUAGAUGUCUCCAGGAAGUAGAGGGCAGGCCUGCAGGGGGUGCUGGUGCCAGUGAUGAGGGCAAGGGCAGGAACAGCCAUGCCGGACACCCUAGAGUUUGUGGACAGAGCUUGAUGAGGUCAGCCUUGCCAGGACAGCCCCACAGACGCCACAGAGCCCUGCAUCCCCAGCCCUGCCUGGGACUGAGCAGCUGCCAGAUGCCUGGCCACCAGCUCUGUGAGAGACACAUGCGCAGACUGGUCCUCGAGGACAAGCCCCAUAAUUACCCUCUGCUGCCAGCAAACAGCAUCCACGUCAGUGAUAAGCCAAGCGGGGCGGGAGGUGCGCCAGCCCACAGACACCUCAGAGGUGGGCCUGGUCCUGCUGACAUCAGCGGCUCUGCUGCCUGAGACAGGAGCAUUCAUGCACCUCCAGGAAGGAGAGGCCCUUCCCUGGAGGAAAACUGAGCUAGCCCAUUGCAGUCUGCCAGGCAGUGCCUGAGCCUGCCAGAAACUGCCGUCUUCUGGGUGAAAUUUUGCCGAGAACCUUUCUGGGCAAAUGACACAUUGCUGAUGUGACUUUCCAGGUCCAGGGAUCUAACUUGACAGCCAUGGAAGCGUGUGAAGGUCACUUCCCAUCCUGCCUCAUUCUCUAAGUCCAUCUUUGUAGCCACCUGCAGAGGCAAGCUGGAGCCACCCUGGUCUGUCCACUUCUGUGAGGGACCAGAAGUCACACAUCAAGCCUGAUUGAGGAGCAAGUGAUUGAGUGACCACUGGCACUCAAACCCACGCCUGUGCCUCAUGCUGUAGGACCACAGGACCCGGAAAGAGAUGGUGUAAGGCUCUGAUGGGCCAGAUUCUGGCUUAAUCAUCUGAACUGUAGCCAUCGAAGCCCCAGACCCACAGUGUCCAGGAAGGAGGCCACAAGCCACACACGGUUUCUGAGCUAUUGAAAGUGCUGACUGCUAAAAUCCUUAAGGGAUUGGCAAGACUUAGAAGGGCCGUGACAGUAGGGAGGAAGGCACCUCAAUGUUUACAUUGAGCGCAUGUUGAAGUAGCAAUAUUUGGAUACACGAGAAUAAACAAGUAUAGUAUUAA